GCCUGGGAAGACCAUAGCUUAGUGGUAGAGCAUCUGCUUUGCAUGUGGAAGGUGGCAGGUUCAAUCCCCAGCACCUGCAGGUA